GUAGUCCACGCCCUAAACGAUGCGAACUGGAUGUUGGGCCCACUUUGGGGCUCAGUAUCGAAGCUAACGCGUUAAGUUCGCCGCCUGGGGAGUACGGUCGCAAGACUGAAACUCAAAGGAAUUGACGGGGGCCCGCACAAGCGGUGGAGUAUGUGGUUUAAUUCGAUGCAACGCGAAGAACCUUACCUGGCCUUGACAUGUCGCGAACCCUGCAGAGAUGCGGGGGUGCCUUCGGGAAUGCGAACACAGGUGCUGCAUGGCUGUCGUCAGCUCGUGUCGUGAGAUGUUGGGUUAAGUCCCGCAACGAGCGCAACCCUUGUCCCUAGUUGCCAGCACGUAAAGGUGGGAAC
rnacentral:rRNA from 1 species